CCUACGGGUGGCAGCAGUGAGGAAUAUUGGUCAAUGGGCGGGAGCCUGAACCAGCCAAGUCGCGUGAGGGAAGACGGUCCUAUGGAUUGUAAACUUCUUUAGGCGGGGAGCAAUGCCGGGCACGCGUGCCCGGAGGGAGAGUACCCGCAGAAUAAGCAUCGGCUAACUCCGUGCCCGCAUCCGCGGUAAUACAGAGGGUGCGAGCGUUAGCUGGAUUUUUUGGGUUUAAAGGGUGGGAAGGCGGAUGUUUAGGUCAGUGGUAAAAUGUCAGGGCUCAACCGAGGCCGGCCGUUGAAACUGGGAGUCUUGAGUAGGCGAGAAGUAUGCGGAAUGCGUGGUGUAGCGGUGAAAUGCAUAGAUAUCACGAAGAACUCCGAUUGCGAAGGCAGCAUACCGGCGCCCGACUGACGCUGAGGCACGAAAGCGUGGGGAUCGAACAGGAUUAGAUACCCUUGUAGUC
rnacentral:rRNA from 1 species